rnacentral:rRNA from 1 species
UACGUAGGGUGCGAGCGUUGUCCGGAAUUACUGGGCGUAAAGAGCUCGUAGGCGGUUUGUCGCGUUGUUCGUGAAAACUCACAGCUCAACUGUGGGCGUGCGGGCGAUACGGGCAGACUGGAGUACUGCAGGGGAGACUGGAAUUCCUGGUGUAGCGGUGGAAUGCGCAGAUAUCAGGAGGAACACCGGUGGCGAAGGCGGGUCUCUGGGCAGUAACUGACGCUGAGGAGCGAAAGCGUGGGGAGCGAACAGG